GCUUGGCUCUUAGUGUUCACGGCGGUCCUUAAUUUAACAUUGUGCAAUUAAGGCACGCGGUGAAUGCCAAGAACAGGGCC
rnacentral:pre_miRNA from 1 species